GAUGAACGCUGGCGGCGUGCCUAAUACAUGCCAGUCGAGCGAACGGACGAGAAGCUUGCUUCUCUGAUGUUAGCGGCGGACGGGUGAGUAACACGUGGAUAACCUACCUAUAAGACUGGGAUAACUUCGGGAAACCGGAGCUAAUACCGGAUAAUACUUUGAACCGCAUGGUUCAAAAGUGAAAGACGGUCUUGCUGUCACUUAUAGAUGGAUCCGCGCUGCAUUAGCUAGUUGGUAAGGUAACGGCUUACCAAGGCAACGAUGCAUAGCCGACCUGAGAGGGUGAUCGGCCACACUGGAACUGAGACACGGUCCAGACUCCUACGGGAGGCAGCAGUAGGGAAUCUUCCGCAAUGGGCGAAAGCCUGACGGAGCAACGCCGCGUGAGUGAUGAAGGUCUUCGGAUCGUAAAACUCUGUUAUUAGGGAAGAACAUAUGUGUAAGUAACUGUGCACAUCUUGACGGUACCUAAUCAGAAAGCCACGGCUAACUACGUG
rnacentral:rRNA from 1 species